AGAGAUUUGUAUCCAUUAUAUUCAGUAGCCUGCAUGUGUCCAAAUCACAAAUGAAAUGAUGUGGGCAAAUAUAAAUUAAAAUUGAAUGUUGCAGAAGUGGUUGAGGAACUUCACCAGGAUACAUUAAUGUACAAACUGAAAACUGAUGAAAGACUUCUGAAGAGAGAUUUGCUAGGAAAAAUAAAAAGAUAUAUAAAUUUCAGUGAUGCUGAAGGAGAGGAAGGAUGUGAUGUCUUUCCCCAUCCGUCAUAAGGGUCAUGGCCAACACUCCUAUAACAAAAGGUUUUGAGAAGCCAUCUGCAGCUCACAACUAGAUGAGUGACACAAUCAGAUGUGCGUAUGCAAAAAAAAGCCUGGAGACAUUGAACUAAGAUCAAAUUUAAUGUAUUAAAUAUGGUAGAAAGAAGAGAGAAUGAAAAAUAAUGUUAACAAUCUAGGUGAGGAAUUGCUGAGGAGACAAAUUAAGUAAAUCCUGUGGAAGGAAAGAAGAAAGGAGGAAAGAGGAUUGGAUGGAAGAAUCUCCACUUCUCAUAGGUGUAGUCCUUCCUUAGCCUGCUUUUUAAUGAGUGCUGCUAAAGCCCUUAGCCUGCCUGUUUACCCUUGGAGUGGAGCAAUGAACUGAAGAUAUUUGAGUGAGUUCAAGAGAGACUCAGAAGAGAAGAAUUGGAGGCAGCAAACAUAGACAGCACUUUUAAUGCUUUUCUCAUAUGCUGUAAGACAUGAAAGCAAUCUAUUGGGAUGAAAGCUGAAAGGAGAAGCGGGACAAGAGAAGUGAAUCCGUGGAAGACCCCCAAAAGAGGCUGCAGAUUCUUAGUGGACAGCUCUCAUAUCCCCUCCAGGGAAAAUGAUGAAAAAUGUCUUCAGAAAAAUAGCUUUAUGAAGGCAAGAGGACUUUUUGCACCUGCAAGACAUGUCUGAAAGCUCCUCAGGUCAAAACACAAGUAGUCAAGAGAUUUGUCCAUCUAAUUCAUCAUACUACUCUGAUCCAAGUGAGACCCACACUGGGUCAGCUCCAUCAAGGAGAAGAACAUUCCACCCACGUUUGGAUUCUGGAAUAUCAUCCUUGCUUCCAUCAGAUUCUUGUAAGUACCUCACUUGGCACAAGGUAGACAUGACGUUCAAGGAAGUCAACUGCGUUGCCCAAGAGUAAGAGAAGGAAUCUCUGAAGAAGAGCAACUUUUCAGACAGGUAGAGUGUGCCUUGCUCCCAAGGAAAAGAGUUCUUGAAAAAAACAAAUGGGAAACAUGGCUACAAGAAAACUGGGAAGACUGCAAGAAUUUGAACAUUUCAUUUCAGGGUUUGGGGGAUCCUUACCAAGUUGAAAAUUUUAACAGAAUUCUUAGAAGACUAAUUCGAGUUGAAACCCUCUGGUUAGUGGAUAAUUCACUGGUGGACUUAAGUGCCAUAAGAUUGCCAAGAGUAUUCUCCUGUUUGCCAAACUUAAAAAUGCUGGAUGGAAUCUUGAAGCUACCAGAAGAUUGCUUAUCACCAGAAACCAAUAUUUUUUCAAAAAUAUGCCUUGUAUCCUAAUGCAGUCUGUAUAGAAAGAAAGCAAUCAUCAUUGUUGCUAAAAGCUAAUAAACACAGGACAUGCAUGAUUAAAUAUUGCAGUUUAUUUUAUAUCUUUUUGCUUUUCUAAAUCAAGGUAGGAAAAUAUUUUCUGUAAAGGACCAGAUGGUAAACAUUUCAGGCUUUCUGGGCUAUAUGGUCUCUGUCACAACUACUCAACCCUGCCAUUGUAGUGCAAAAGCAGCCAUUGAUAAUAUGUAAAUGUAUGGGUGUGUCUGUGUCUCAGUAAAACUUUAUUUACAAAA
rnacentral:lncRNA from 1 species